CGAGAAAGGAGGGGUUCAGUAAUGUGUAGUCUCUUGGGCCAGAUAUUCUUCUAGGGAUUGGUGGAAAAACAAAAUUAAAUUAAAAUAAAAAACUUCAUAAAAACUCCUAAAUUCUCCUAUAAAUACCACACCAUCUCCUCCCCUACUACACCUACAUCUUUUCUCUCUCUUAGCUUACCCUCUCCUAUUCUCUUUCUCUUCUGGACCCCUCUCUCUCUCUCUCUCUCUCUCUCUCUCUCUCUUUCUUUCUCUUCAUUAGGGUUCUGAUUAUGUUAUGAACCUACCUUCCAUGCUUCUUCAAUUUUUUUCUCUUUCUUUUUGUUUUUGAAAAACCCUUUAUACACUGUCUGUGGGGCAUCUUCACUCUUCAAUAUCAUGGUCCUCUUUGUAUUCUUCCACAGCUUUCUUGAACUGCAUCCAUAGAGUUCCUUUGCAUGCAUGCCAUGGCACUCUUGCUCCCACACCUUCUUUUGCGGUUCAAUAAAGCUGUGGGAAGAUACAGAUAGGUCCAACAACGAACUAGCUUAUCUCAAACUCCAGAUUCUUCCUCUCUAAACCUUUCUGUCAAAUUAUAUUAUUAUAUACAUCGGGAUAAGAUUAUACUGGUGUAUUUGUUUUUCCUUUUUCUUCUGAUUUGACUUAUUUAAAUCUUUUUCAGAUUUAAAGCAUUGACUUUUCUGAUGCAUAACUCUGUUAUGUGAUCAGAAUUCUGAUAUGCAGUCCUAUGAGAGAAUUAACUUGUACCGAUUGUGUUGAUUUGUGACGAUGAUUCCUCAACAAUUCGGCUUCUUCUUCCGGAAUCAAACCGAUCAGGUAUUGAUUCGAUCGAUCCAAAAUCAAGGAAACUUGAGCUAACGAUUUCCAUAGAUGUGGAAUCACUGUGCAGACUUUUUCCCCAGAUCUUACUCUAAUUAAUUUCUUCCGAGUCCGUUAUAUUUGUUUGCCUUAAUUUCAUGCCCCUAUUUAAUUUCCUCUUAAUUAAUUUUGUGGAGCAAUCCCAGGCUCGAACUUGAGGUAUAGGAACAUCUAUUGGAAGAUGGUGGUUGUUAAUUUGUACAUCAACAUUAUUGAUUCGUGAUGAUGCAUCGCGUAGGCAUAGCCGUUUGAUUUAAAAAUAUUUUUUCUUUUCGUUUUCGUGUUGUAGCUAGCUCUAGUGCUGUCUCUGGUGAAUAUAAUAAUUAUAAUAAUUUGUGCUUGUUAGCUGCUUGUGCUUUUGUCUUGAGCUCACUCGCUCACUCACUCACUCACUCACCUUAUUAGCCUUUUUCUUCUGUUCUGAAAUGGUCUAUAUGUUGUGUAGCCUCCAAUGCAGGCAGAAGUUACAAGUUACAGUGGAUGAAUGGCCAUCAUUGAGAUUUCUCCAUAGAACAUGUCUCCUUCAAUUCAUUAAACCUUUGAUCUGUGCUUGUACUGUUUUAGUCGGCAAAGUCACAGAUGGUCGAGUAAUUUAAUAUAUAAAUUCCAGGCUGCAGAUUCAGCAUAAGCAGAAUUACAGAUUGUUAGACAAUGGACCACAGAGAGGUGACCAUACUGCCUUUAUCUCUCGUAUGGAACUUCCAACAACUUAUGAAUGCUUUAAAGCCAUUGGUUGGUGACCCUAGCAAGAGGUUAGAUGAAGCUUUUAUGGAAAAUAUUAACCAUAGAAUUGUAAAAAAUUAACCUCCAGGACUGUAUUAUGGUGAUUCUUGCUAUAGAACGAACAAGGCUACCUAAAACCAGUGCAGGAGCUGCUUGUGAAGGAAACUAGGGUUUUCCUUUUCCCAAUUAAGUCAGGGACAGCCAUGCUGCGGGAAAUGGGAAUUUUAGACCACCUGCGAGUACUGUUUCUUUCUUUAUCUUGCUUCCCUGUGCCGAGAAUCAGUUCGAAUGAGACCCCUUUUGUUUCUCCCGAAAGAUUUUGAAAUUAGAAACGGUAAAAGCAAUUUCAAGUUAUAGAUAAAGCAAUCGAUCUUGCAUGGCCUAGAAAAAGAAGUGGCCGAUCCCGAUAUUAAUAUCAAUUUUCCACAAGGGGUUAUUCUUUUUCCUUCAUUUUGUGUCUCUCACUGUUAAAUCCGACAAAAUGGUGAGCUUCAGCGCCAUCAACUUUACUAGGACUUUUAGUUGGUGCAUUCACGAGCACUAUGACUCCCUCCAAUAAACAACUCCAUUUUUUUCUUUCCUUUUCCAAAAGACAUUGUAAAAGUCGUAUGAGCAUGCCACUUUAUUUGCAAAAUCUAUAUCCUAAUCCUACUGUAACCCACUAAUCUAACAUACAUAUUCUAACUUGUUCCUCAUUCUAUGGCUUUGUUUGUUUGUUUUUUGUUUUUUUAAGCGGAUGAUAAAUAACUUUAAACUGAUUGAACAUGAUGUCCUGCUUUUGCUUGUUUGGAUCUAUACUGUUCUUAAAAUAUGCCUUUUCACUCAUGGUUAUCCUUCCUAUAUUAUUUCCUUUAGUUUAAUCCUUUGUGAUGGAUCUGAUGUAUGGUAGUCAAAUGAUGUGGAUUGCGGGAAUUGUUUGUCUGAUUUAAUUAUGUUUCACUAGCCAGUUUUCACUUUAGAGAAAUAUUAAACUGAAAAAGUUAGAUUUCAUUGUGUUCCGCGAUAUGCAAGAGUGGAAGAUUGGUGAAAAGAGUUAAACGAUGGAGAGGCAAUAAACUAAUAGACAAUUCUCUUGAUCUUGCUGUCUUAGCAGUGCCCCUUUUGUCUUGUGGCUAACAACUAUCACAUUUUUAAAUUAUUCACAACAUUAUUAUAACCCUUGAUGAGCUUUUAGCUUAUCACGUUGCCUUCAUCCAGCUAUAUAGAACAACAAGUCUUUAUUUCGAUCAUAACCUCACAAAAUAAUAUAUCAUACGAAUUUCUGGGAUAUAUGAAAACAGUAGUAUUUAUUAAGUGUAUAUACAUAUACACUUUAAAUUUCAGCUUUUAAUUUGUGUGUGCAUUCACAUUCACUGUUAACUAUUAAUUUCCGGAAA